rfam:Otolemur garnettii contig077020, whole genome shotgun sequence.
UAAAGUAACAUCUAAUUGCUGUCCUGCUUGAUGAAAGUACAUUUGAACACUCUUCUAUCUGACAACUGAAAAUAAGUAACAUU